GCCGCUGUGGUGGAAUUGGUAGACACGUCGGAUUCAAAAUCCGAUUCCUUUACGGGAGUGACGGUUCAAGUCCGUCCAGCGGUACCA
rnacentral:tRNA from 1 species